GUGAACGCCCUCACGGGCUUAUACUAUUCCAAACCUCUGUGAACCGUGCCCUUCGGGGCUAUUUUACAACAUGGUGUAAUGAACGUCAUAUAUCAUAACAAAACA
rnacentral:misc_RNA from 1 species